AAUAGAUACCCGGGUAGUCCACGCCGUAAACUAUGGAUGCUAGCUGUUAGAAGUAUCGACCCUUCUAGUAGCGAAGCUAACGCGUUAAGCAUCCCGCCUGUGGAGUACGAGCGCAAGCUUAAAACAUAAAGGAAUUGACGGGGACCCGCACAAGCGGUGGAGCGUGUUGUUUAAUUCGAUGAUAAGCGAAGAACCUUACCCAGGCUUGACAUCCUUGGAAUUUUGCCGAAAGGCGAGAGUGCUUUUAGAGCCAAGUGACAGGUGAUGCAUGGCCGUCGUCAGCUCGUGUCGUGAGAUGUUUGGUUAAGUCCAUCAACGAGCGCAACCCUUGUAGUUAGUUGUAUUUUUCUAGCUAGACUGCCCUGGUAACAGGGAGGAAGGAGGGGAUGAUGUCAGGUCAGUAUUUCCCUUACGUCUGGGGCUACAAACACGCUACAAUGGCCGGUACAAAGCGCAGCCAACCCGCGAGGGGGAGCAAAUCGCAUCAAAGCCGGUCUCAGUUCGGAUUGCAGGCUGAAACUCG
rnacentral:rRNA from 1 species